rnacentral:lncRNA from 1 species
NUGGCCUCGUGGUUCUUUAGGGCUGGUCACCCCGACUGUCUCCCACCGCCGUUCCCUCAGGCGUACCCCCGCUUGUUCCGGACCGUCUCGUCUUUGAUUCACAACGCGUAACGCAAGCGAAUUCUGGUGUCCUCGCCUCCGUUGCCUGCCAACUACUGCUAUAGGGGCGUGAGUAAAUAAACGUUGUUAUCUGAAACCAUUACGCAUCCGAGCCUUCCUCAUCCCGUAAAUCCAGAUCUGUCAUGAACCAGAGGGUGCCACAAGGCCCCUCUCACAGUGCGGGACAUGGCGACGCGAACAGGAUCUGGUGGGGAUGAUGGAAAGAUACAGCGUGACCUAAUCCGCUGCUGCCCGUGGUUGAAUGGCACACGGCUGUUAGUAAACCAUGAUGAUUUAUGGGCCCACAUAGCGUAUCAUCAAGCUAGCGGCCCCACAGCAAGGGAAGAAAUCUCCGGUUACCUGUCAUUCACGACCGGGGGAAAGGAGUGGAACAUGACCUUGAGCCCCGCUGCGUUCGGGUGUGUCAUGAGCUCCUCGAACGUUAUGUUCUGGGCCCGUGAGGUGUGUGGUGCACUAAGCCUCGCGAGAGUUAAGCCCUCAGGUACAGUCAACACAACCCCAGCGCAAGAAUUCACCCAGUGCAUGCUCCAUGUAAGAGAAGGAGGGAAGAGCACCCCAGUCGAUAAGUUUAAUUGCCCGGCCCUGAGGGAGGGGUCACGUGGACAUGAGCUGCUCACUCAGUGCCGUGAGCGUCUCGAGUCUGACAGGCGCAAUGCCAUCAAGUGGGGCGGACCGAAGUGGGACAACGGGAAAAUGUUAAACAUCCUGUUCCGCGAGUUCGUGGGCCUCCUACGUGAAAACGCGGACCUGGGAGCACAAGUAGAGACGUUGGCUCACCAGUGCUGCGACGGGCUCCCAGGAGAGGGGGACGUAACACCCUCACCCACUGAAUCAAACAAUGACCCGCUCACAGAGGCCCUUGAUCCAUCACCAUCCGCGCCACCGCCGUACAACCCAGAAGCCAAG